AAUUAUAGUAAUUGUUCAAAUAUAUCAUUUAGUAGGUUUUUAAAUCAUUUUCAAUCGAAAUCACUGUUGCAUAAGGAAAUGUUAGCUGUGUUGUCUGCUGUAACGGAGAUUA